rnacentral:rRNA from 1 species
AGUGAACGCUGGCGGUAGGCCUAACACAUGCAAGUCGAACGGCAGCACAGUAAGAGCUUGCUCUUACGGGUGGCGAGUGGCGGACGGGUGAGGAAUACAUCGGAAUCUACUUUUUCGUGGGUGAUAACGUAGGGAAACUUACGCUAAUACCGCAUACGACCUACGGGUGAAAGCAGGGGAUCUUCGGACCUUGCGCGAUUGAAUGAGCCGAUGUCGGAUUAGCUAGUUGGCGGGGUAAAGGCCCACCAAGGCGACGAUCCGUAGCUGGUCUGAGAGGAUGAUCAGCCACACUGGAACUGAGACACGGUCCAGACUCCUACGGGAGGCAGCAGUGGGGAAUAUUGGACAAUGGGAGCAAGCCUGAUCCAGCCAUACCGCGUGGGUGAAGAAGGCCUUCGGGUUGUAAAGCCCCUUUGUUGGGAAAGAAAAGCAGCAGGUUAAUACCCCGCUGUUCUGACGGUACCCAAAGAAUAAGCACCGGCUAACUUCGUG